rnacentral:rRNA from 1 species
GUGCCAGCCGCCGCGGUAACACCGGCAGCUCAAGUGGUAGCCGCUUUUAUUGGGCCUAAAGCGUCCGUAGCCGGUCUGAUAAGUCUCUGGUGAAAUCCCACAGCUUAACUGUGGGAAUUGCUGGAGAUACUAUCAUGACUCGAGGUCGGGAGAGGCUGGAGGUACUCCCAGGGUAGGGGUGAAAUCCUGUAAUCCUGGGAGGACCACCUGUGGCGAAGGCGUCCAGCUGGAACGAACCUGACGGUGAGGGACGAAAGCCAGGGGCGCGAACCGGAUUAGAUACCCGGGUAGUCCUGGCCGUAAACGAUGUGGACUUGGUGUUGGGAUGGCUUCGAGCUGCCCCAGUGCCGAAGGGAAGCUGUUAAGUCCACCGCCUGGGAAGUACGGCCGCAAGGCUGAAACUCAAAUAAAUUGACGG